GUGGGGAAUAUUGGACAAUGGGCGAAAGCCUGAUCCAGCCAUGCCGCGUGUGUGAAGAAGGUCUUCGGAUUGUAAAGCACUUUAAGUUGGGAGGAAGGGCAGUAAGUUAAUACCUUGCUGUUUUGACGUUACCGACAGAAUAAGCACCGGCUAACUUCGUGCCAGCAGCCGCGGUAAUACGAAGGGUGCAAGCGUUAAUCGGAAUUACUGGGCGUAAAGCGCGCGUAGAUGGUUUUGUAAGUUGGAGGUGAAAUCCCCGGGCUCAACCUGGGAACUGCCUCCAAAACUGCAUGACUAGAGUACGGUAGAGGGUAGUGGAAUUUCCUGUGUAGCGGUGAAAUGCGUAGAUAUAGGAAGGAACACCAGUGGCGAAGGCGACUACCUGGACUGAUACUGACACUGAGGUGCGAAAGCGUGGGGAGCAAACAGGAUUAGAUACCCGUGUAGUCC
rnacentral:rRNA from 1 species